rnacentral:rRNA from 1 species
UACGAAGGGGGCUAGCGUUGCUCGGAAUUACUGGGCGUAAAGCGCACGUAGGCGGUCUUUUAAGUCGGGGGUGAAAUCCUGGAGCUCAACUCCAGAACUGCCUUCGAUACUGGAAGACUCGAGUCCGGGAGAGGUGAGUGGAACUGCGAGUGUAGAGGUGAAAUUCGUAGAUAUUCGCAAGAACACCAGUGGCGAAGGCGAACUCACUGGACAUGUAUUGACGCUGAGGUGCGAAAAGCGUGGGGAGCAAACAGG